UACGGAGGGUGCAAGCGUUAAUCGGAAUUACUGGGCGUAAAGCGCACGCAGGUGGCUGAGUCAGUCGAUUGUGAAAGCCCUGGGCUUAACCUGGGAAUUGCAGUCGAUACUACUCAGCUAGAGUAUGGGAGAGGGUAGUGGAAUUCCCGGUGUAGCGGUGAAAUGCGUAGAUAUCGGGAAGAACACCAGUGGCGCAAGCGGCUGACUGGCCGAGACCUGACGCUGAGACACGACGGCGUGGGGAGCAAACCGG
rnacentral:rRNA from 1 species